rnacentral:lncRNA from 10 species
AUUUUGGAGCCGUAUCGGAAGCACAAGUGUCAUGGGCUGAAAGGCCGCCUUCUCCUGCGGGCUAAGGGUGUGGGCGACAGCUCGCACAUUCAAAUAAGGGAGCGAUUACACGGCGCUUGCUUCUGAAGACGGAUUUCCUGAGACUUUUAUGCGAGUGUGAGGGCCAGCAGGUGCACAUUUGAAGCUCAGUGGGAAGUGUUUUCCAAGCAACAGGAGACAGCAGAUGCAGAUGGGGUCCAAUUACUGCUGCUCACGGCUGAUCACGCCAUGCACUUGUGUGCGGAUACCUGGCUCCUGGUCUCAGGCACCUAGUAUGGGGCUAUGCACACGAAGUGGUGUCUCACUAUGUUAGGCCAGGCUGGUCUCCAACUCCUGGCCUCAAGUGAUCCUCCCCCUCCAGCCUCCCAAAGUGCUGGGAUUACAGGCAUGAUAUACUGCGCCUGGCCUGCAACCGUCCUUUUUUCCCCCUGAUUAUUUUCGAUGUGUUGUUGGUUGAAUCCACAAAUGCA